rnacentral:rRNA from 1 species
CCAGCAAGUAGCGUUGGGCACUCUAGCCAGACUGCCGGUGAUAAAUCGGAGGAAGGUGGGGACGACGUCAAAUCAUCAUGCCCUUUAUGUCCUGGGCUACACACGUACUACAAUGGCCGUUACAACGGGAAGCGAAGGAGCAAUCCGGAGCAAAUCCCUUAAAGGCGGUCCCAGUUCAGAUUGUGGGCUGAAACUCGCCCACAUGAAGGCGGAAUUGCUAGUAAUUGCAGAUCAGCAUGCUGCAGUGAAUACGUUCCCCGGGCCUU